rnacentral:lncRNA from 1 species
GUUUUGUAAGCAGACCUGUGGCCAUGGAUGCCCACCAGGCACGCAGGACACGGCCCCAGUGCUCAGCACAUCAGCACCCGGCAGCGGUGGAUCGGCGCUGCAGAGCCCUGGGGGCUGCGGCGUGAGAAAUGGACGGGAGCGGGAGACGAGCCCGUGGUUUUCAAACAACCUCUUUCAAAGCGGUUCAAAAGACAAGCUCUGUGCAGAAGAUCUAUUGUGAUCAAAGAGGCAGACUUCACAGCAGUGCUGGCAGCAGAGCCCAGAGUGACCUGGUACCGCGUGGUGACAAGCAGCUGGUGGCCCCGCAGGGCUGGCUGUCCCCGUGCCUGCCCCUGCCCCCUGCCCGCCGGGGGUGUCUGGAGCUGUGGCCUGCAGCUGACAGAGGGCAGCCGCUGCUGGGGGACUCGGGCUUUAUCUCCGUGCCAGGCGAUCCCAGCUGGGUGCCGAGCCAGCGCUGGUCGGUUGAGACCCUUUGGUGGCUCUGACUGCCCACCCAGCGGGGCUGCCAGGCGGCCCACCACCUCCCCUGCAGAAGCUCCCCGCUGCGUGGGGGCGCGCAGCCCCGGGAGGGGGAGCGGGAUGGGCUCCGUGCCGUGCACCUGA